GGGGGAGUGACUUCAAAUACAUUUUGUACUCUGUGUGGUUGUGAAUGUUGAGAUAAUACAUUUUUAAAUAUAAUCAAAUCAGCAAAGUCCUUUAUAAGUGACAAUUUGUCGGUAACCACAUGAACACAUUGAUUCUUAAAUACUGAAAUUUCAUAAUAGAAAUAUAUUGUGCUUUGUAUUCAGACUAUUAAAAUAGCUUUUAUAUUUGUAAUUAGCGUUUGUGUGGCAGACAAAGUAGCAUUUGAAUACACAGUGGAAAGUGUUUAGUAGCAUUGCUCUAAAUAGAAACCAUUAUAAAUAUUUGCUUAUUAUCAAUUAACUUUAUGUGAGGCUGUGGGGGGAAGGGGGAGAGAGGUGUUGUGUGCAGAAUACUUACUGAUAAGGAUAGGCAAUGAUAAUUUGAAAAGGUUCUGUACUAUUAUUUAAUAUUGCAAAACUUCAAUCUUUUAGUUUUUGCCUGCAUAUUUUGGUGUUAUUCAUGAAUGUGAGAAUUAACAAGGGAAUUACAAUUUUGUGCUAAAAUAUUCAAAAACAAUUAUUGUAAGUAGCACUUACAACUUUAUUGAAUGCUUUGAAUAGACUUGCCAAAAACUCAGUACAGUUGCUGUACACUAGGUAUACUUCCUCCAGCAACCACACAAUUAGUAAUACGCAUGCAAUCUUUUGAUGACAGACUAUAGUUUUUGGACUUUUCUCCUUUGAUGAAGGACAGGAAACUGGUUGAAACAUUGUUACCGCUGAUGUGAAUCCACAAAUACAGAAUUAUUUAUUUGGACUAAAAGAAUUAUGGAUACUAUUUCUUAUUUGUACACACUACUUAAAAUAAUUCUGCCAUGUUAUGAUGUGUUAGUCCUUUAUAUAUGCAAAAAUGUGUGCUGUUAAAUUAAAUAUACAACUAUAACUGUAAUAUUAUGGAUGAUGCUACUAAUUCCAAUAAUUUAGGUGCAAACUAAGAUGUGUUCAAAGUUAGCAACAAUAACAGCCUUUAUCAACACAUGUUACUCAAUGGAUAACAUGGUCCAAAAUGUGUCGUUCUAUCUACUAACCAAACCGUAAAAGAACACUAUAGAGUCAGGAACACAAACAUGUAUUCGUGACCCUAUAGUGUUAAAGCCACAAUCUACUCCCCCUGGCCUCCUCUUGCCUCCCUAAAUAUAGUAACAUCUUAUUUGUAUUUAAGUCUGCAGCUGCUGCCUCUGCCCCUGACCUGCCUUCUGUCUGCUGACAUCAUCAGAAGUGGUGGUCUGAGCCAAUCCCAAUGCUUCCCCAUGGUUGGAUGAGACUGUCAAAAAGGCAGAUCAGGGGCAGAGCCAGCACAA